ensembl:lncRNA
AAAAAUAAUCCUAGAACUUACAGGCUUGGAAUUCUGAGAUGGACUUUCGAUGUCUGGGUCCUUCAAGAACACAUUUGUAACGACCUGCUCCGGUUUGGGAACGAUGUUCUGGGCCGGGAAUUUGCGAUCACGUGUUUGGAAGAAAUAAUAAAUAAGCUUGUGUCCAAAAAAGGGAAACAAAUACUGAACAUCUUGUUUGACAGCUGUAAUAAAAAUAAGGACAGCAAUGAACGGCCGUGUGUGCCUGUCCAGUCUGGGCUGGCUGAAGGGGCAGCAGGGGCAUCUGUACCGUGUGCAGUACCUCACCUAACCAGUGCGGUCAGCCCUCUGGCUGGGUUGGAGCCUCCUCUCUUCCCUGCAGCCCCUGGCCUGGAGAGAGCCCAAGGUGACAAAAGAGAGGAGAAUUUACUGCUAGAGGUCCUGAGCCACUGCAGGCGCGAGUUGCGAGCAGGUCAGCUCUCCUGGUCCCUCGCACAGCGUCUGGGUCCCUCACCUCAGACCAGGCACCCCAGGAAGCGGCACCCAGCUCAGCCGAUCCCUGGAGCUGCAGUCCCUCCUGAACCUGACACCUACAGCAGCAGGACCACCAGAACCCACGGCGGCGGUCGAGGGAACAGCAGGGGCUGCUGGGGAGCAAGGGUUAAAAGGGGAUCUCGGCCAGAGCAGCCCGACUCAGAUCUCCAGCCUAAAAAGGGGAGUUUCGCAAUAAAGGAGGAGCCAAAAGCUGCAAAGGUCCCGAAGAAAGUUCCUCGGCUGGACAGGAGGCUGAAAACGCGCUCAGCCAGCGAGCUCAAGGAUGCAGUGGACACGCCUCCUGAUGAAGAGGGCAAACAAGUGAUGAUUGGCAGCGCGACGCGGAAGGUCUGGAUCCCCACGUCCGUGUACAUGGAGGCGUUUAAGGAGGCGGAGCCUCAGAAAGCCGUGGUGCCGGUGCUCCGUGCCCUCUUUCCCAUCAGCACCCUGUCCUGCAGGGACCCCCUCUGGGGUGUCCAGCAGCUCGACCCCAACAAACUGGAGGCCCUGCGAGAGUGGCUGGCUGAGAUGUACCCCCAGCAUGACCUGACUGAGGGGGGCUCGGCGUGGGCUCAGUGUCUGGGAGCUCUCGACAGAAUCGCUAAAGAUCUCCGCCAGAAGGAGGGGACGUCCCCACGUGUGGACGCGGAGUGACCUUCACGCCGACCGCAGCCGCAAUCCUACAUCAAGCACUACAGCAUCUCCUCAGAGGAGAGCCAUGGGCCAGUUCUGCAGGCACUGUAAACCCAAACCACGAGUACAUUUAAAUACCAAGAGGAGGCAGAUAUUCACACUGUCCACACACGAUGGCCCCCUGAACGGACUGGUGGGUAUGUGCAUGCGGUUCCUUCAGAGUCUGCGGUUCUAGACGGCCCUCCCAGCCAAAACGUGUGUAACUCAGUUUAACGUGAACUCGGCUUCCUGCUGCUCUACCUCCGAUUCAGUCGGCCGCAUCUACGACAGUAAAGAGGGUCCUGCUCUUGAUUGUGAGCCGUCAUGGGUGGGUUUUUGUUCUGUUGCCUUCGUUUGUUUUUCUUUCUGUUUUUCAGAUCCUAAAGGUGCUUAAUCUUCAGACUGUAUGAAUUCAAGAAAAACUGAGGCGCUUUCCUUUUUACAUAUUUUUAAUUCAGAAUCAAAAGUGUACUCACGGAAUGUGCUAGUGUUUCUAUUUGCAAAUAAAGGAAAAAUAAAUGCUUUUGCUCAGUUCUGUAUCUAUUUCUUUAAGCAUUAAAUGAAAUUGAAAUGCAUAGGAAAGUUGGUCUAGACAGUGAACAUGACCUCGGUCUUUCUGCAGCAGCGUCGCAGCUCGUUAUACGGAAAUGAUCCUCGAGGCCGUGAAGCGGUUUCACCUUCCCUGCACUCGAAAGUGAGGCGUCACUCUCGAACCAAGCUACUGGUCGGUGAAGGUUCUGGAGCACUUGCUUGCAUCU